UGGGGAUGCCCUUUUCCACGCCGUAUCCGUCCUUCUGCAGCCGAAGCAUCGAGGGCACCACCACGGCCGGGGACACGCCGCUCAGAACAAAGCUGCAGGAAACAUGGGCUUAUUUUACUGUUGCAAAAAUGAAAGAAACGAAGUUUGUCUUUUCUGCACAGGAAGGAGUGGCGGAAAUGGUGGAAGUAUAGGCAGCUGGAUGAGGGCGACUGCUUUGCCACCAACUAUCGCACAGAGAAAGACUAUGGUGAUGCCAAACAGAUUCCCUCCAGGAAGACAUUCCUUCUCGGUGAUGGACACAAUCACCCCAAAGAGUACAGCUGCCAAAAGAACUGAAGAGGGAAGAGAAGACAGACAUUCACUGAAAGACAAAUGAUCCAUUUUGUCACUUUUGUCAGAAUGAUGACUCUAAAACGUUUUGAAAAACAGAAAA